rnacentral:lncRNA from 1 species
UUUUUUUUUUUUUUUUUUUUUGGUCUUUUUGUCUUUUUAGGGCCACACCCAUGGCGUAUGGAAGUUCCCAGGUUAGGGGUUAAAUCCGAGCUACAGCUGUCAGCCUACACCACAGCCACAGCUACGUCAGCUCUGAGCUACAUCUGCAACCUACACCGUAGCUCAUGGCAAUGCCAGAUCUUUAACCCACUGAGAGAGGCCAGGGAUCAAACAUGCAUCUUCUGGGAUUCUAGUCAGGUCCAUUCACUGCUAAGCCAUGACAGGAACUCCUGAUAUUUGCAUUAUUCUAUCUGACUUCACUUAGUAUGAUAAUCUCUAGGUGCAUCCAUGUUGCUGCAAAUGGCAUUAUUUCAUUCUUUUUUAUGGCUGAGUAGUAUUCCAUUGUGUGUAUGUACCACAUCUCCUUUACCCAGACCUCUGUCAGUGAACAUUUAGGUUGCUUCCAAGUCUUGGCUAUUGUGAAUAGUGCUGCUAUGGAUAUAGGGGUGCAUGUAUCUUUUUGAAGUCUGGUCUUUCCCAUAUAUGUGCUCAGGAGUGUAUUGCUGGAUCAUGUGGUGGCUCUACAUUUAGUUUUCAAAGGAACCUCCAUGCUGUUUUCCAUAGUGGCUACACCAAUUUAUAUUCCCACCAACAGUGUAAGAGAGAGUUCUCUUUCUCCACACUCUCUCCAGCAUUUAUUUUUUGUAGACUCUUUAAUGAUGGCCAUUCUCAUGGCAGGUGUGAAGGGGCCCCAGGUGGGCCUAAUGCCAGCUCCCUGGUGGGCAGAGUCAGGGUCCCAUAGACUCCAGGGCUGUUGCCCACCCAUUGGCAGGCAGCCUGUCUGCUGAUGGGUGGACUAUGUCCCCACCCAGUUAGUUGUUUGGCCUGAGGCAUCUCAGCACUGAGGCCUACAGGCUGUUGGAUGGGCUUGGUGCUAAUGAGCUAGAGGGUGGAUUUCAGGGUGGCAGACUCCAGCAUCAGCAUCUGCGUGGCUGAAUAUUCCCCAGUACAUUUGCCGCCAGUGUCUACCACCCGAGUGAGCCACAGCCCCCACACCUCUCCAGGGGACUCCCCAAGACCAGCAGGUAGGUCUGGCCCAGGCUCCUAUCAAAUUACUACUUUUGCCCUGGGUCCUGGUGUGUGUGAGGUUUUGUGGGUGCUCUUUAUGAGUGAAGUCUCUAUUUCCGCCAGUCCUGUGGGGCUCCUGCAAUUAAGCCCCAAUGGCUUCAAAGCCACAUGCUCUGGGGGUUUGUCUUCUGGUGCUGGACCCCCGGGCUGGGGAGCCCAAUGUGGGGCUCAGAACUCCCAGUCCUGUGGGAGAACCUCUGCCCUGUAAUUGUUCCCCAGUUUCAGGGACGCCCACUUGGAGGGCGUGGAAUCUGAAUCUCUCUCUCACCUACUCUCCUGCCCAUCUCCUGUGGGUCUUUCCUUAUGGCCUUAGUUGUAGAAGAGCUUUUCUGAUGGGUUCCAGUCCUUUGCAUGGAAGGUUGUUCUGCAGAUAGUUGUGAUUUUGGGGUGCUCCUGAGAGGAGGUGAGCUCAGGGCCUUUCGACUCUGUCGGCUCAGCCACCGUCCUCCACAAAGCCAUGUCUGGAAUGUUCUUUUGUGUUCCUGCCUCCUGCGCUCUGAUCAGCAGCUUGCUGACAUAACACAGGGGGACUAUUCACUUCCGGCUUUAUUUUUUAAUGGGCUUCCAAAGUCUUUUAUUAUGUUGGGUUUUUUUUUUGUUGUUGUUAGUUUUUGCCAGAGUCAAAUCUGUGCCAUACUCUUAGGAAUGGUCCCUCUGUGUGUGUAUGUGUGUGUGUUUGUCGGGGGUGCCGAUGCAGUGCCAAGUGUACUUUUGCAGUUGUGUCUGUACAAAGGUAUUUGUGUAAAUGCACAGAAGGUGGUGAGGUGCCUUUGGGAGAGCAUGUGGAUAUGACGGUGUGAGAAGGGAGGGGGUAUUUAUGUGGGGAAGGGUAGUUUCACAUAUUAAAGACGUGGAGAUGGGUCUGUGGGCAGCUGUGAGUAAGGCAGUGUGUCUCUGGGGCACUGGUGCAUCUGCCUAGAUACUCUUUGAAUAGAUGGAGAAGCAUGUUUUCAAGCUUGGCUUCCUUCUCUAGUGGAGGAGGAUAGAAAGAACUUCCCAGAGAAGGUUGGAUGGCUUCUUUCUACUCCCAAACCAGACUUGUUCACCAGGACUUUCUGGGGAAUCCUUGGAAUGGUACGAAAUUCAGGAGGUCCUGAUGCAUUAAAAACAACAACAACACGGAAAAAGCAAACAGCUAAUGUUUAUUGAGGGCUUAGUAUGUGGCUAGAAUUAAUUACCCCAGGUGCUUUUCAUUAUUGACUUUUUUGAUCCUCCCAAUAACCUUCCUGAGUAGGAACCAUGUUUAUUUCCUCUGUAGGUAAAUGGAAGUAGCGAGUAGGUGGUAGAGACAGGAUUUUGAUGCACACUCUUGAGCAUUACAGCCCUGUCCUCUCCCGAGUCAGCAUCCUGAAUUAUGGCGACAGAGACGGCCUCCCUAUUGCUCAGCCAAUUUAGCAGUGGUUAUCAUUUGCCCUGUUGCCGCCAGGAGAGGGGUUAACUCUGGGAACAUCAGAACCACUCCUGGAAAGAAGCCUGGUGCAGAGAGCAGAGACACGGAUGGCUUUUGGAUGCUCCCCUCUGCUCUCACGCCGCCUUCCUGUGGGACGUCAGUACCCUUGCUUGGCGACGAGUCCCACGGUGCCCUCUGGCUUUGCCUGGACUUGAGCGCUCCGACUCCCUGGGGCACCUUUUUAAGAUCUGAGAUGAAUCCCCAACCCUUGUAGGCCAGCAAGAUCACCCUAGGGAGCUUCUUGAGAAAGCUGUCUGUCUGGAGCUACGCUCCCAGAAUUAGGAUUCAGUGUGUCUGGGGAGAAGCCGGAAGCUUGCAUUUGGCACAAGACACUUCCCCCAGAUGACUCUGAGUGGGUGUCCAAGCACCAUAUUUUUAGAAAAACCACUCUCCACCUGCUUCAGGUGGGUAACUUUAAUACCCUCCUCCCGGCACCUAAGGAGCCCUGGAAAAGGCAGUCACGAUGGCUGAGCAGUGCCCCAAAUGGACCUUAAGAAAGCAGGGCCAGUAUAUUCCUCCAUAGUUGAAUCUGCAAUGCCAGGCAGUAUUUCUUCAAAGGCUGGUGGGGAGAGGAGCAGACGCCUGCCCAUGUGAAGUCAGGCAACCCCUCAAGGAAUUUAAAUGGGUCAGGAACUCUUAAAGAAUUUAAAUGAGCAUGAAAUAGGUAUAGAGCGUUUUCUGGGCCAAUAUGCAAAAGCCAAAUAGUAAAUAACUAUUUUCAGCGCCGAGUUUGGUUGGCAAAUUUGCAUAGACAUGUGAUGCCGUGAGUUUCUAUUUUUACCAUGUAAAUGUACAAUCUGUAAAGGGAGCUGUGUGCCCUGUGGAAAUCCAGUCUCAGGCUGUUGGCUGGGAAGAGCCGUUUUCAGUCUGGCUGGACCUAGAGUGUUGUGUGUUUUAAUGAGCCCAGGUGAGCGUUGAGAGAUGGGCAGAGAAAAGAGCGGGCACGCGGUGCAAUUUUUUCGGGCACUUACAGUGCCAAGAUCUCCCCUGCAGCAAAACGCUGGUGCCUGAAAAACGGAAGUUAAAGUGGAAAGUUGGACGUUACCCUUGUGCUGUUUAUAACCACUUCCCACCCUUUCUUUAAAACCCACUUCGUUUUGGGAUGAUCGUACUCUGAUCACUAUUGAUGAUUAUAUUAUGCCGAUUAUUGUGAUGAUUAUCGUAUUGUAGGUGACAUAUUGGCAUGCAUCUGCAGAACUAGGAAAGCUCCCUGCAUUUUUUUCCCCCUUAGUGUCAUUUUGUUUUAGAGGACAGGAGGGAGCCACACCGAAGGUUUUCUGGCAAAUCUCUUGAUGCUUUAACUUCAGCUCCGCAUGCGGUUACCUCUCAGGUGUUUUGUGAUUACCCAAGAGGAACCUCUAAGGGGUGACUUUGCCAAGUGAACUUGGCAUUUCCCUUUGGAUACUUACAUUGGGCAGUAGUACAUCCUCUGGAUACUUAGACAUUGGGAAGAAGUACAUCCUUUCACUUUUUCUUGCUACAAGAAUGUGUCUCAAGGAAAGAGGCUCUUAGAGGAGGAAGGGAACUUUGCUUGAGUCCUAGGGAGUGAGAUGGUCCUUGGCACGUGUUUGUAUACCUUCUGCUCGUGGCCUCAAAGGUUGCUGAAGAGUCAAGGAUGCUUUGCUAAAUUACCACUUUUUUGAAAUUGAAGUCUAGUUGAUUUACAGUGUUGUGUUACUUUCCGGUGGAUAGCAUAAUGAUUUAGUUACUCAUACACACAUGCAGACACAAACACACAUAUAUUCUUUGUCAAGUUCUUUCAGGUAAUUACAAGACAUUAAAUAUAGUUCCCUGUGCUAUACAGUAGAACUGUGUUGUGUCUCUAUUUUAUGUAUAGUGGUUUGUACCUACUAAUCACAUACUCCUAAUUUAUCCCUAGCCUCCUGUCCCCCUAGUAACCAUAAAUUUGUUUUCAAUGGCUGAGUCUAUUUCUGUUUUGUAAAUAAGUUCAUUUGUAUCGUUUUUAGAUUCUGCAUAUAAAUGAUGUCAUAUGCUAUUUGUCUUUCUGACUUUAUUUACUAUGAUCAUCUCUAGGCCCAUUCAUGUUGCUACAAAGGGCAUUCUUUCUUUUUUAUGGCUGAGUAAUAUUCCAUGGCAUAUAUGUACCAUAUCUUCUUUAUCCAUUUCUAGCCAUUGUUGGCCACAGGUAUCAGCAUUUGAUUUUAUUAAAAAGAACCUGUAAUGGAGAAGCAUGGUAAACAUAAAUUGGUCCUAAAAGGCCCCACUUUCCAAUGCCCCUCCCUUUGCACUCUUUUUUUUUUUGACUGUUUGAUUUAAAUGAAAGAUGGGCAAAGUGGCAUCUCCAGAAUCUCCAUGUGGGAGAAAUUAGAGCUUCUGUUUAAGGAGAAGGGCAGACAGCUCGAUGAAAACCCAGCUGUGGUUGCCCAAGGUUUUCAAAGGCAGACUGAGUGUCUGAGGCAGAGAGAGAGUCUGGAGGUUUGGUGUGGUCUUGCUUGGUUCUGAGAUGUUGUUGUGUCUAGAAGAGGAAGGAGUUCCUUUGUCAGGUCUCACCCUGAGUCAGUAGUGAUGCCCAAGUAAUCGGUUAUGGCCUGUCACCACAUUUGACAGUUUUCUAAAACUACCUCCCAUUGUUGUGACGUAGGUUCAAAGGCUUGCAAAACAUUUUCUCAAAAAAAAUUUUUUUUAAAAACCUUUUUUUUUAAAGUUUGUGUUCCCCCUUCUUUUCGUAAUUGAAAAAACGUAGUGAUGAACUAAAGAGAUGUUCAGCAAGCUUUGGGGCUGUGAGUGAAGCUCUAAGUUAGGCUAGAAGUGAUCUUCUUACAGCAUAAAGAUCUGUGUGUACACUACUGCGGAAUAAGGAGAAUUUUUUUCUAUUUUCAAAGAGCUCUUGAAAAGCGUAUACUGCAAACUCUUGCCCAAGCUGCCACAUCCUUGAAAUAGACUUACUGCGAACUGUGAGGAAGUUUCUUAUGUCUCGUAUAUUUUGACUUGCUUCUCUAGGAACGUGGUUUCUUUUGCCAUCAUUGAGUUGAGUAGAAAACUGUGUCUACCCCUCCAUCCUCCAUGCAUCCAUCCCUCUGUCCAUGCAUCCAUCCACUUACUCAUUCACAGUGCCUAUCCCUCCGCUAAUUAUCAGAAAUAUACCGAUGAAUCUGGUAUAGUCCCUAUUCCCUGCCCUCAAGGAGCUUGGGAUCUAAUAUAAUAGACCCUUGGCUUCUGCAUACUUCACAAUUUCUAAGAAGCCCAAAGCUUUGUGACCUUAUUAACUGUCAUUUUUGCUGAUGCACAGAUGUGAAUGGAUGAACGUGGUGCCCACAAUGAAACUAAUGAGAAAGAAGGAAUCUGUGAACUAAAGAGGGAGCCUAUCUGACAACAGCCCGGCACCCACCCUGGAAUCAGCUUUGUGCUUUUGCACCCAUCAUCUUUCUCAUAAGAGGGUAAAACAACUGUUUCAGGAGGUCCAAUAAACUCCGAAAGAAAACUAUUGCUAAUGCUAUUUAUAGAACUAAAGAGAUUCUCAAAGUUUUGUUGGGAAAAAAUUUGUAACAAACUCAUGUUGAGUAAUUUGCAUGUGCACAUAAGCUCCUCACUAAUAUCAAAGGUUAAAGGGGCCAGUUCCACUCUGUUACCACAGCCUUUGGGGAACGUGUGACUUUGUAGCCAACUACAAAUACUUGGUUCCUAGGACUCCAAGUUGCAAGAUUUCUCUCAACAGAAGGGGAUCCCACUCUUUGCUGUUUCUAUCAGUAUUUUUUGUAGAACACACAUAUCUACCCAAGUAAUUGAUGCCACAUCAAUGGUCACCCCAGCCGGGCUGUUGCUUUGACCUCAAUGUUACCAACCCCCAAGCUCGUAUCAGUUUUAGAACCUCUUCUCCCGGGGGACUUGGCUUGGACCAUGGCUCUUUGUAAGAUAUCACCCUGAGUCCCAUCCCCACCUAGAAGCCAUUGGCUUCCCAGCUUUGGGCACAGACUUCCUGCUUCCCAGUUGGCAGUGUUUUUGCCUCUUCAAAUGCCAUUUCUACAGUUCAGGAGCAGAAUCUGUUACCCUUUACUGUUGGGUUAUCUUGAUCUCAGUAUUUCAAGAGGUGACUGUCUUGCCCUUUUUUUUUUUUUUAAUCUUUUUUACCAUGAGGCCCCAAACACUGGGACCUCAGUUGGUUUAUGCCGUAUGAAAGCACCCUAGUGUGAGGCUACGGGUGAGCACCCUCUGUGUGGUCCUUGCUAUCCACAGACAGAAAUGCAACGUGAUGCAAUUCACACAAUAGGGGAGAGCUUGUCUCUUAGGUGUAAAGGAUUUCAAUGGAUUUCCCUGAAAAAAAAAAAAAAAAAAA